rnacentral:rRNA from 1 species
UAUUUUCCUUGUGUGCCAGCCGCCGCGGUAAUACGGAAGGUCCGGGCGUUAUCCGGAUUUAUUGGGUUUAAAGGGAGCGUAGGCCGGAGAUUAAGCGUGUUGUGAAAUGUAGACGCUCAACGUCUGCACUGCAGCGCGAACUGGUUUCCUUGAGUACGCACAAAGUGGGCGGAAUUCGUGGUGUAGCGGUGAAAUGCUUAGAUAUCACGAAGAACUCCGAUUGCGAAGGCAGCUCACUGGAGCGCAACUGACGCUGAAGCUCGAAAGUGCGGGUAUCGAACAGG